rnacentral:rRNA from 1 species
GAUGAACGCUGGCGGCGUGCCUAAUACAUGCAAGUCGAGCGAACAGAUGAGGAGCUUGCUCCUCUGACGUUAGCGGCGGACGGGUGAGUAACACGUGGAUAACCUACCUAUAAGACUUGGAUAACUUCGGGAAACCGGAGCUAAUACCGGAUAAUAUAUUGAACCGCAUGGUUCAAUAGUGAAAGACGGUUUUGCUGUCACUUAUAGAUGGAUCCGCGCCGCAUUAGCUAGUUGGUAAGGUAACGGCUUACCAAGGCAACGAUGCGUAGCCGACCUGAGAGGGGGAUCGGCCACACUGGAACUGAGACAAGGUCCAGACUCCUACGGGAGGCAGCAGUAGGGAAUAUUACGCAAUGGGCGAAAGACUGACGGAGCAACGCCGCGUGAGUGAUGAAGGUCUUCGGAUCGUAAAACUCUGUUAUUAGGGAAGAACAAAUGUGUAAGUAACUAUGCACGUCUUGACGGUACCUAAUCAGAAAGCCACGGCUAACUACGUG